CAUCCUUUUUUCCACUUUUGUUUGCAUGUGUUGACGGUGGCUUUAGUGCAGCUUUUGUUCUGGUGCUGGUGCCCUUCGGUGCUGCUUAGUGGAUUUGAUGACCGUUUGCCUCUCAGGAUUCUCCCUCUUGUUCUAUGCUGUGAUUGUUUGCUGCUGUCUUCGCACUGUUAAAGUGCUGCUGUUUAUACAGCCGCUCAGACACCGUCGUCACCAUUAAUUAAAGGGGACUGCUUAUCUGUUUCUUAUUGUGCCAUUUUAAUGCCCUGCUUCAUAUUUUUGGUCUGUUAUGGGUGGCUUGACCAUCUCUUUUCGUUUGUAUAAGAAAUAAAAACUAGCCCCUGUCUCUUUGUUUUUCUUUGAUUUAAACCAUUUAAUAUUUUGUUGUUUUCUUUUCUUCUGUUCAAGUAAAGUUUGUUUGGUGUGUUUGAUGGUGUGAUCAGAGUGCACAGGUGUGUGUGUGUGUGUGUGUGUGUGUGUGUGUGGAAGUGCCCUUGUAAAACCAAACUCUUGAUCCCUGCCGCUGGGAACCUCAGCCUUGCUGGUAUUAUUUCAGUUUUUGUUUUACAGAUAUACCAAACAUGUGUAUAUAAAGUUGGUUUGUAUUAUUAUUACUUUUCUGUUCGUAAUUUGUUUUCUUGUGUGAAGUGGGGUUUCUAGCGUCUUUGACUUUAGUGUCCAGUAUUUUAACCCAUUUCUGUAUUAAUAAACAUUUGUAUUUUUUAUAUACUUUA
ensembl:lncRNA